GCGGAAGUGGAGGGCUUUACCAUUGCAGUCGAGGGGCAGCGGGGAGGUAGCAAUACCUCCGCCGGCGACCGGCCCCUUUAAGAGUAACACGUAUGCAACCUGCCCUGUGCAGGGGCCCUUUCCGGAGAAAUCCGGUCUAAUACCGCGUAACACCCCUUGGGGACAUCCCCUUGGGGUUAAAGGAAGCAAUUCCGGCACAGGAUGGGCAUGCGGCGCAUUAGCUGGUUGGCGGGGUAACGGCCCACCAAGGCAACGAUGCGUAUGGGUUCUGAAAGGAAGGUCCCCCAGACUGGUACUGAGACACGGACCACACUCCUACGGGAGGCAGCAGUGAGGAAUAUUGGUCAAUGGGCGAGAGCCUGAACCAGCCAAGUCGCGUGAGGGAAGACGGUCCUAUGGAUUGUAAACCUCUUUUGUCGGGGAGCAAAAAGACUACGUGUAGUCCCAAGCGAGAGUACCCGAAGAAAAAGCAUCGGCUAACUCCGUGCCAGCAGCCGCGGUAAUACGGAGGAUGCGAGCGUUAUCCGGAUUUAUUGGGUUUAAAGGGUGCGUAGGCUGAAUGUCAAGUCAGCGGUAAAAAUUCCGGGCUCAAUCCGGACGUGCCGUUGAAACUGGCGUUCUUGAGUGAGCGAAAAAUACGCGGAAUGCGUGACGGAGCGGUGAAAUGCAUAGAUAUCAAGCAGAAAUCCGAUUGCGAAGGUAGCGUACCGCCGCUCACUUGACUCUGAAGCACGAAGGCGUGGGGAUUAAAACAGGAUUAAAUACCCUGGUAGCCCACGCAUUAAAAGAGGAAUACGAAUUGGCCGGCCCUUCGGGGUUGGGUGAAACACACAAAGCGUUAAGUAUUCCA
rnacentral:rRNA from 1 species